rnacentral:rRNA from 1 species
GCGGCCGGGUCUUUCCUUCUGGCUAGCCCUCGGGCGAACCAGGACGAUUACUUUGAGGAAAUUAGAGUGUUCAAAGCAGGCCUUUGCUCGGAUAUAUUAGCAUGGAAUAAUAGAAUAGGACGCAUGGUUCUAUUUUGUUGGUUUCUAGGACCAUCGUAAUGAUUAAUAGGGACGGUCGGGGGCAUCAGUAUUCAGUCGUCAGAGGUGAAAUUCUUGGAUUGACUGAAGACUAACUACUGCAUCAGAUACCGUCGUAGUCUUAACCAUAAACUAUGCCGACUAGGGAUCGGGUGGUGCUACUUUGCCCACUC